GGACAUGAGUUUGGGUGGACUCCGGGAGUUGGUGAUGGACAGGGAGGCCUGGUGUGCUGCAGUCCAUGGGGUCGCAGAGUCGGACACGACUGAGCGACUGAACUGAAAUGAAUUGAAAGGUCUGCUCCCAGCUCUAUAGUGGACCCACAGCGCGGGGGAGGGAACACCAAGGAUUGGGGGGGUCAACCAAGCGCCUCCCCAGGGCGCGGCGUGACGAGGCCCACAGGACCGAAAGGGCGCCGAAACACGGCGUGUACGAAGCCCAGAGCGUCGCCCUCAGCUAAUCCGUCUCGUGGGCCCAGGACGGGGACAGGAAAGUGCCGCGCGGCGCUUCUUGGGCGAGGAAGCGGCCUCAACGCCGCCUCGCGCGCUGAACCGAGGCCUCCGACCCCGCGCGCUCCGGGGGCCCUGAAGGCUGGCUUCUCCCGCCUCAGGGGUGUGCAGGUCUCAGGAAGCACGUUUGCCAGGAGCUCUCUACAGAAAGGCGCGCCUCUUCUGUUUCACUGGAGGAACCUGCCUUCGGCUGCCAGAGAGCCACCUAGUCCCCUCCCUUCCGCCCUCCCCACUUGGCCCGCGCCCCGCCGCGGAGCCUGCAGACUGGAGUUGCAGCGCUCGCAGGAGGAAGCCGGAAACGCCCGGAGCGCCCCCCCACAAUCCUCAGCGCCAGCCUUCGUAGGCUUUCACUCAUCAGAGUGAGCUUCCGAGCGACGAGCCCGGAUAGCUCAGUCGGUAGAGCAUCAGACUUUUAAUCUGAGGGUCCAGGGUUCAAGUCCCUGUUCGGGCGCAGUUUCGACUUUUUAAUACCGGGAUUUUUGAAAGUGAGAACCAGGUAUAGGAGCCUCCGUUUGUUAGCCUCUUUCCUUUAGAAAAGGGAGUGAGAUGUGGCGCGUGUACGCUGCGCACCCAGUCGCCUUCGGGGGAGCAGCCCCGCAGACGCCGCACGCCCUGGUUGCACAGGCCCCGCAAGAUGCGCCGUGCGUGGCGGACGCUCCAAAGCCCCGGCCUCCGGGCAGCCGCCGGCGGCGGCGCGGCCCCCGCCGCUGAGGUGGGCGCGCGUCGGGCAGGCCGGGCUCCCGCAUGGCCGCCGCCCUCCGGCCUCACCCAGAGUGUGGAGCGGGGCAGCCCUGCUUGGUUGCGGAUGCUUUGAGGGCAGAUUAGUGACUUCAGUUAAGAGAUAGCGUGUUCUGCCACCCUGACGGCGGGGCGGCGCCUGCAGGGACCCGCGUCGGUCACGCGCUGGGCACCCGGCGGGCACCUCGUGGGCGGCUCUCGGUCCUCGCGUUGGUGUCCGGGGGAGAGGCCGGGAAGGCGUCCGGGGGCGAGAACAGGCGGCCUGGGACUCGGCGGGACGUGACUGUUCUCAGACGCCAGGAAUGCGGUUUCUUCCUCACUGCUCUGGAAAGCCCGGAGCUAAAAGCGGCGCACUUUGGAAGGUGAAGUUGGCAACUGAAAAAGCAGAGGAGAGACGAGUCCUUUUACAAUUUUUCUUUAAAAUUUUCCUUAACGGGGUUGAAGACGCAGCCGGCGUCGCCGAAAUAGCUCAGUUGGGAGAGCGUUAGACUGAAGAUCUAAAGGUCCCUGGUUCAAUCCCGGGUUUCGGCAGGACUUUUGCUGAGUGGGUCUGGAGUCCUUUCCUUUCCUUCGUGUCUUCCCGAAGGCAAGCCACCACACACGGUGAAGAUGCUAAGAGCUUAAGCCUUUAAAGAAACCUGGACCCGGUCGCAGAGUCAUUCCACUUACACACUGUUGGAUGUUGGGUCGCAGCGUGUGGCCUGACUCGCAUUUAUAAUGUGGUCAGCUCAGGUCUACAGGUGGAAGGUUUUGGAUUUGAUGCGAAAUAUAAUCACGUUGGGUUUGCAGGUUUUUCUUAUUGGAGGCAGACAUGAAGACAGUGUUCAAAAACGUUUGUCUCUACAGCAGGACUGGCAAAUCAGGGUCCCACAGGUGCUUUAGAAGAAUGGUCGGGAUGCUUCCUGGCUGGAGAGGUGAUUUAUAAGCACGUGUCACGGCCUAAAAUAUUUCUUGCAAUCUCAGUUUUCUCACCUCUCUUCUCAUAAACCGUGCGUGAACUGUUACUGCUCAGAGCGAAUGUUUGCAAAUUUCCUGUCAGGAGCAUUACCAUCGUUACUCUAACGACAGGGAUGCAAAUGUCUUGGUUAUGUGUUUAUUGAUGUUUUGAAUAUAAUUCUACAUACUAGUUUUAAGAUUAAAAUAUCCAAAGACCAAGUAUCUAUCAUACAAAGGCUGUAAAAGACUGAGGUUGGGAGAGAAAGUUACCGGGCACUUUCCCCACCCCCCCCCCCCUUUCACUUUUUCUGCAAAACCCACCCCGGUCUGGCCUGCCUGCUGGGUUGUAAACCCCUGACUGAAUCAAGUGUGUUUUGCACAACCUCACCUCAGAGAGUGGUGUGGACACAUUUCAAUUUGUUUCAAGGUUUUAAAAUAACCGCCGCCCGAACAGGGACUUGAACCCUGGACCCUCAGAUUAAAAGUCUGAUGCUCUACCGACUGAGCUAUCCGGGCUCUCGAAAACACUUCCUCUCCUAGUCUAUCCACAGAAAAUAGACCGCGCUGCCGUUCCCAUUGGAUUAAAAUUCUGAGUCUUUUUGUUGAUUUAGUGAGUGGUGAAACUGCAAAAUCAAGUUGGAGCGGGCUUUUGGUGGAAGUCUUUUCUGAUCCCAUCACUGACAGACUAUGAAGAAAAUAUUAGUAAGUGCCGGCCAACCCCUGCUGCGACUAAAGGAGGAUGCUCUCUCACCCCUUGCAUCUCAAGGAAACAUCUCAGGAGGAAUUCUGAUUUAGGACCCUUGGGGGGCCUCCUGGGGAGCUGGGGAUUUCUAAACCCAGUCUUGGUCUGUGAAGAGCCCCAGAGCAUCUUGUGGGUGGAACCUUAUGAAUAAUUGAUUAGGUUUCCUGUCUUUAUUCAUCAGAACCUAUUCAGGACCAAGACACGGCGGGCGUCCUCAGUGAGGCGGGAAGACACACGAGAUAAAUAUCAAGCGCUUGGGUGGUGGGAAGCCGGUCAACACCGGAAGUUAAGGGUCCUAACUAGUCUUCUAGCGGGUGAUGAUUCCCCGCUGAGCUGCCAAUGGUGACUGGGGGCCUGAAGGCUCAGGAAGAGAAUCCUGAGCAGAGGGAAGGGCAGAAGGGAAAAGACCUCCGCUAGUGAAUCUGACGGAGAAGGCAAUGGCACCCCACUCCAGUACUCUUGCCUGGAAAAUCCCAUGGAUGGAGGAGCCUGAAAAAAUCCCUAUAUAUCCUGGGUCCUGCCUUACUGUCUUUGGAACAGUUCCUCAGAGCUACCCGAGAGUCUGCUUCUCUGGCUGGUCUUCAGUAAGGUCCUUGAAUAAAACGUGACUC